rnacentral:rRNA from 1 species
GAUGAACGCUGGCGGCGUGCUUAACACAUGCAAGUCGAACGAAGCAUUUGAGUGGAAGUUUUCGGACGGAAGCUCAGAUGACUUAGUGGCGGACGGGUGAGUAACGCGUGGGUAACCUGCCUUGUACAGGGGGAUAACAGUUAGAAAUGACUGCUAAUACCGCAUAAGCCUUUAGUGCCGCAUGGCACAGAAGGAAAAGAUUUAUCGGUACAAGAUGGACCCGCGUCUGAUUAGCUAGUUGGUGAGGUAAUGGCCCACCAAGGCGACGAUCAGUAGCCGACUUGAGAGAGUGAUCGGCCACAUUGGGACUGAGACACGGCCCAAACUCCUACGGGAGGCUG